UACGUAGGGGGCUAGCGUUGUCCGGAAUCAUUGGGCGUAAAGAGCGUGUAGGCGGCCCGGUAAGUCCGCUGUAAAAGUCAAAGGCUUAACCUUUGAAUGUCAGUGGAUACUGCCGGGCUAGAGUCCGGAAGAGGCGAGUGGAACUCCUGGUGUAGCGGUGGAAUGCGCAGAUAUCAGGAGGAACACCGGUGGCGAAGGCGGGUCUCUGGGCCGAUACUGACGCCGAGGAGCGAAAGCGUGGGGAGCGAACAGG
rnacentral:rRNA from 1 species